rnacentral:rRNA from 1 species
GGUGUGAAUUGCAGAAUCCCGUGAAYCAUCGAGUUUUUGAACGCAAGUUGCGCCCGAAGCCAUUAGGCUGAGGGYACGUCUGCCUGGGYGUCACGC